AAAUUCUAUAAUUAGUAGUAUAUAUCAAAUUUAAAUAACAAAAUACAUACAUUUAUUUCUUUUUUAUCUUCCUAAUACUACAUGGCCAAUUUCACAUUCAACCAUGUCAGAAUUAUCUGUGACCAAAAUAUGCAGAGCCUCAAUUUGCAAUGGCUUGUAAAUAUAGGUGUACAUGUUGUGGGAUUAAUACUUUUCAUGCAUAGCAAAUCAGAACAAACAUAUUUUCUUCAGUCAUGUCAGACCCUGACAAUGUCAUAUUCACAUGCCCUUCACAACUAAGACCAAGACAUUCACAAUUUAUAAAGAGACUGAUUUGAUAAGUGACAGAAACUGACAAGCACCAGCUUCAGAUAUCAUUUUGGAGAUCCUGCAUUUAUGAUUUAUGUAAAAUUCGUAAAGUCAUGUAUCCAAAAUUACAUUUUUAGUAAUAGAAUGAUAGUAUGUGCAUUUUAUUAGAAACAGUAAAGAAAAUACUCCUAUUUACCUUUUCCCUACUUAAUAAUUUCCUAGUUAAUAAUUUAGACAUUUUGCAAUAUUUAUUAUAGUUUAAGCUUAUUAAAAUGACAAACGUAGUAAAGACACCUGAUUUGAAGAAGAAAAGAGGGGUACAAAAAGGUACCUUGGGAUCUGAUAGAGUUAGAACAGCUCCACUGAAGCUUAAGCAUCCAGUGUUGUCAGUGGAGAAUGGGACACAGAUUGCAGAUGCAGACAGAUUAUUGUUUGUUUCUAUUGAUUUCCCAGUGUUGCAAGAAAUGUGGCUAUAGAGUCAUUUGUGUUUUAUACUUCUUAUAUCAAAGUAAUGCUAUUCUAUAAAAUUCUCAAGCAUAUGGUAAUCAUAUUUUUAACAUAUAAUUUCUCUAUCUUUUGGCAUAAAAAAUAGCAUCAGAAAUGACAUAAGUCUUUACCCACUUUUAGGCAUUUUGGAAUCUUAAGCAGACCACUUAAUUAUCAGUGUGUGACAUCAUUCUUCCGUCAUUUGAUCCAUUAAUCAGCAUCUGUUUAUUGAAUGCCCACUGUAUGCCAGGUCUUAUGCUGAGGGUUUGGAGAUGUAGAGAUGAAUGCAUAAAUCCAGUUCCUGUUUUGCAGUGCUUACAAUCUAGAUACCACUAAUGGUGUGUGUGUGUGUGUGUGUGCGUGUGUAUAUAUAUAUAUAUACUCAGAUUUAACAUUAAUUAAAAGUGUCUUCUAUGUAUUCCCAAAGAACCAGCUGUAGGGAAGCAAAUCAAAGGAUCUUCUAUGUACACCAAACAUUGCAUGCCAUGAGAAAGAUGCUGUUCUUGACACAUCACAUAGCUUAAUCCCUUCAUAAACAGUAUAAAGCAGGCAUUACCAGUCUCAUUUCAUAAAUGAAUUAAGGUACCCAAAGUAAUUCCUCAGUGAUAAAGAGAGAUUUCACCUCCAAAACUCGGACUUCAAACACUGUGCCCUUUACAGCUUCUUUAUGUGUUACUUUGACAUAUUAAAAAAGUAAAAUUACAUAAUUUAAGAUUUAC
rnacentral:lncRNA from 1 species